rnacentral:rRNA from 2 species
CUUGCUAGAYYAGAUGACGACCGGCGCACGGGUGAGUAACGCGUAUCCAACCUGCCUUUUACCACGGGAUAGCCCCUCGAAAGAGGAGUAAUACCGUAUGAGGUCAUGCGACGACAUCAGAUCAUGACGAAAGGCUUAGCGGUAAAAGAUGGGGAUGCGUCUGAUUAGGCAGUUGGCGGGGUAACGGCCCACCAAACCGACGAUCAGUAGGGGUUCUGAGAGGAAGGUCCCCCACAUUGGAACUGAGACACGGUCCAAACUCCUACGGGAGGCAGCAGUGAGGAAUAUUGGUCAAUGGUCGCAAGACUGAACCAGCCAAGUAGCGUGAGGGAAGACUGCCCUAUGGGUUGUAAACCUCUUUUAUCUGGGGAUAAAGUGAGCCACGUGUGGCUUAUUGCAGGUACCAGAAGAAUAAGGACCGGCUAAUUCCGUGCCAGCAGCCGCGGUAAUACGGAAGGUCCAGGCGUUAUCCGGAUUUAUUGGGUUUAAAGGGAGCGUAGGCCGCUUGGUAAGCGGGCAGUGAAAUGCAGAGGCUCAACCUCUGACUUGCUGUUCGAACUGCCAGGCUUGAGUACGCACGAGGUAGGCGGAAUUUGUUGGUGUAGCGGUGAAAUGCUUAGAUAUCACAAAGAACUCCAAUUGCGAAGGCAGCUUACCGGAGCGCAACUGACGCUGAAGCUCGAAAGUGCGGGUAUCGAACAGGAUUAGAUACCCUGGUAGUCCGCACGGUAAACGAUGGAUGCCCGCUGUUGGCCCAUGUGGUCAGCGGCCAAGCGAAAGCGUUAAGCAUCCCACCUGGGGAGUACGCCGGCAACGGUGAAACUCAAAGGAAUUGACGGGGGCCCGCACAAGCGGAGGAACAUGUGGUUUAAUUCGAUGAUACGCGAGGAACCUUACCCGGGCUUGAAUUGCAGACGAACGCGGCAGAGAUGCCAAGGCUUCGGGGCGUCUGUGAAGGUGCUGCAUGGUUGUCGUCAGCUCGUGCCGUGAGGUGUCGGCUUAAGUGCCAUAACGAGCGCAACCCCUUUCCUUAGUUGCCAUCAGGUUAAGCUGGGCACUCUGGGGAUACUGCCACCGUAAGGUGUGAGGAAGGUGGGGAUGACGUCAAAUCAGCACGGCCCUUACGUCCGGGGCGACACACGUGUUACAAUGGCGCGUACAGAGUGAUGGCCGCCGGCAACGUCGGUCGAAUCUAUAAAACGCGCCUCAGUUCGGACUGGAGUCUGAAACCCGACUCCACGAAGCUGGAUUCGCUAGUAAUCGCGCAUCAGCCAUGGCGCGGUGAAUACGUUCCCGNGCCUUGUACACACCGCCCGUCAAGCCAUGAAAGCCGGG